rnacentral:tRNA from 2 species
GCUAGUGUAGCUUAACAUAAAGCAUAACACUGAAGAUGUUAAGAUGGGCCCUAAGAAGCUCCACAUGCA